rnacentral:rRNA from 1 species
AGAUUAAGUUAUUAAGGGCGCACGGUGGAUGCCUUGGCACUAGAAGCCGAUGAAGGACGUUACUAACGACGAUAUGCUUUGGGGAGCUGUAAGUAAGCUUUGAUCCAGAGAUUUCCGAAUGGGGAAACCCAGCAUGAGUUAUGUCAUGUUAUCGAUAUGUGAAUACAUAGCAUAUCAGAAGGCACACCCGGAGAACUGAAACAUCUUAGUACCCGGAGGAAGAGAAAGAAAAUUCGAUUCCCUUAGUAGCGGCGAGCGAAACGGGAAGAGCCCAAACCAACAAGCUUGCUUGUUGGGGUUGUAGGACACUCUAUACGGAGUUACAAAGGACGACAUUAGACGAAUCAUCUGGAAAGAUGAAUCAAAGAAGGUAAUAAUCCUGUAGUCGAAAAUGUUGUCUCUCUUGAGUGGAUCCUGAGUACGACGGAGCACGUGAAAUUCCGUCGGAAUCUGGGAGGACCAUCUCCUAAGGCUAAAUACUCUCUAGUGACCGAUAGUGAACCAGUACCGUGAGGGAAAGGUGAAAAGCACCCCGGAAGGGGAGUGAAAUAGAACCUGAAACCGUGUGCUUACAAGUAGUCAGAGCCCGUUAAUGGGUGAUGGCGUGCCUUUUGUAGAAUGAACCGGCGAGUUACGAUUUGAUGCAAGGUUAAGCAGUAAAUGUGGAGCCGUAGCGAAAGCGAGUCUGAAUAGGGCGUUUAGUAUUUGGUCGUAGACCCGAAACCAGGUGAUCUACCCUUGGUCAGGUUGAAGUUCAGGUAACACUGAAUGGAGGACCGAACCGACUUACGUUGAAAAGUGAGCGGAUGAACUGAGGGUAGCGGAGAAAUUCCAAUCGAACCUGGAGAUAGCUGGUUCUCUCCGAAAUAGCUUUAGGGCUAGCCUCAAGUGAUGAUUAUUGGAGGUAGAGCACUGUUUGGACGAGGGGCCCCUCUCGGGUUACCGAAUUCAGACAAACUCCGAAUGCCAAUUAAUUUAACUUGGGAGUCAGAACAUGGGUGAUAAGGUCCGUGUUCGAAAGGGAAACAGCCCAGACCACCAGCUAAGGUCCCAAAAUAUAUGUUAAGUGGAAAAGGAUGUGGCGUUGCCCAGACAACUAGGAUGUUGGCUUAGAAGCAGCCAUCAUUUAAAGAGUGCGUAAUAGCUCACUAGUCGAGUGACACUGCGCCGAAAAUGUACCGGGGCUAAACAUAUUACCGAAGCUGUGGAUUGUCCUUUGGACAAUGGUAGGAGAGCGUUCUAAGGGCGUUGAAGCAUGAUCGUAAGGACAUGUGGAGCGCUUAGAAGUGAGAAUGCCGGUGUGAGUAGCGAAAGACGGGUGAGAAUCCCGUCCACCGAUUGACUAAGGUUUCCAGAGGAAGGCUCGUCCGCUCUGGGUUAGUCGGGUCCUAAGCUGAGGCCGACAGGCGUAGGCGAUGGAUAACAGGUUGAUAUUCCUGUACCACCUAUAAUCGUUUUAAUCGAUGGGGGGACGCAGUAGGAUAGGCGAAGCGUGCGAUUGGAUUGCACGUCUAAGCAGUAAGGCUGAGUAUUAGGCAAAUCCGGUACUCGUUAAGGCUGAGCUGUGAUGGGGAGAAGACAUUGUGUCUUCGAGUCGUUGAUUUCACACUGCCGAGAAAAGCCUCUAGAUAGAAAAUAGGUGCCCGUACCGCAAACCGACACAGGUAGUCAAGAUGAGAAUUCUAAGGUGAGCGAGCGAACUCUCGUUAAGGAAC